rnacentral:rRNA from 1 species
GUCGAGCGAGAAAGUGGCUUCGGCCAUCAGUAAAGCGGCGGACGGGUGAGUAACACGUAGGUAAUCUUCCCUUGAGCGGGGGACAACGUUUCGAAAGGAACGCUAAUACCGCAUAAGUUCCUAGGGUCUCUGGAUUUUAGGAGGAAAGCUAGGUCGCAAGAUCCGGCACUCGAGGAGGAGCCUGCGUCGCAUCAGCUAGUUGGUGGGGUAAUGGCCUACCAGGGCGAAGACGCGUAGCUGGUCUGAGAGGAUGAUCAGCCACACUGGGACUGAGACACGGCCCAGACUCCUACGGGAGGCAGCAGUGGGGAAUAUUGGACAAUGGGCGCAAGCCUGAUCCAGCCACGCCGCGUGAGUGAUGAAGGCCUUCGGGUCGUAAAGCUCUGUGGGGAGGGACGAACCGCCGAUGGUGAAUAGCCAGCGGCAUGACGGUACCUCCUUAGCAAGCACCGGCUAACUUCG